rfam:Gallus gallus breed Red Jungle fowl, inbred line TCD001 Contig896.1, whole genome shotgun sequence. [11-NOV-2016]
UGGUGGUGAUGACUAUCUUAGGACACCUUUGGAACAACCAUGAAAUAAUAACUACUUUCUGAGUCAU